AGUCGGAGUAGGAACUUGUGGAAUUGCUGACAAGCCCAUGACACAGUAUCAAGAUACAUCCAAAUACAAUGUCAGGCAUUUGAUGCCUCAGUAGUGAGAAACUGUUGGAUUUCAUCUCCGCAGGGCUUUACAUUUACCUUUUUAUCCUUAUAUUUUUCUAAAGGUAAAUUAUUUGUUAGAUGAGUAAGGGAGAUCCGUUGUUGUCAUUGUUUGGCUUUGGUAGGAUGAAACUUGAAGACAUUUGAUAACUGCUACCAUGUAACUUUUCAUUGCUACUCACCACAGCUUCUUCAGUAUGUUGAACAAGGCAACUUUUCUAGCUAAGUGCUGCAUAAGUCGGCACGUAGAUGACUUAGGAACGUCAGGCCACUUAACUGAUGUUGUGUGGACAGUUUGUAAGUCCUAACUUGGGAUUUUCAGAUGCUUUGCACUUGAUAUAUUCCAACAGUGCAGUGGAAGGGACAUCAAGGCAAAACGCCAGCCUGCUGAAGAGAGCUGCUUCUGUUUUACAACCUGGCACUGUCCAGACGAGCCCAAGUAUAGGUUAAUUUAUAAACGGCAAAGUUUAUUUUGAGGUUUUUUUUCCUUGAAUUGUUUCCUGGGACUAUUAGGUCACCUCUACAAUUGACUCACCUUGUAUUUUUUGUCAUUGAGUUUGAAUUUUAUAUUAAAAAACCAAACAAACCAUGUUUAGGAUGUGCUCCCCUUCUCUGUUUAUUUGGUGUUUUCCUUUGUUGACUUCACUUGUGGUAGUGCUACCCGUUUUGGGAUGUGUAAUGUUUAUAUGGGAAGACAAAGCUGAUGUACAGCCCUGUAUACAGUGUAGAUACUAUUUUUGUAAAAAACAGAACAAAACCAAAAAAAAAAAAAAAAAAAACAAAUCCAAGGCUAAAUUAAUGAACAAGAGUACUGAAUGUCUUCAUGAUUACAUUUUCCUGUAUUUCUUGUGCAUUAAUCUGACCAUAACUUCCCUGUAUAUUAUGUUCAUGUAGCUGAGUUUGUAAUUUUUAUUAACGAGAUCAAGUUGCCAGCAUUUGUUGGCAUAAGUGAAGCAC
rnacentral:lncRNA from 1 species